GCGGCAGUGGCGUAAUGGUAGCCGCGCUGGUCUUAGGAACCAGUGCCGAAAGGUGUGGGGGUUCGAGUCCCCCCUGCCGUA
rnacentral:tRNA from 1 species